GACGAACGCUGGCGGCGUGCUUAACACAUGCAAGUCGAACGGUAAGGCCCAGCUUGCUGGGUACACGAGUGGCGAACGGGUGAGUAACACGUGGGUGAUCUGCCUCGUACUCUGGGAUAAGCCUGGGAAACUGGGUCUAAUACCGGAUAGGACUUCGCAUCGCAUGGUGUGGGGUGGAAAGAUUUAUCGGUACGAGAUGGGCCCGCGGCCUAUCAGCUUGUUGGUGGGGUAAUGGCCUACCAAGGCGACGACGGGUAGCCGGCCUGAGAGGGGGACCGGCCACACUGGGACUGAGACACGGCCCAGACUCCUACGGGAGGCAGCAGUGGGGAAUAUUGCACAAUGGGCGAAAGCCUGAUGCAGCGACGCCGCGUGAGGGAUGACGGCCUUCGGGUUGUAAACCUCUUUCACCAGGGACGAAGCGCAAGUGACGGUACCUGGAGAAGAAGCACCGGCCAACUACGUGCCAGCCGCCGCCGUAAAAC
rnacentral:rRNA from 1 species